CCGAAGGAUCUGUCCUAGGUUUCUGCCUUUUAACAGGCAGUUUUUCCUUGCCCUUGUCUCCAAGUGUCUUGCUCAUGGUGGUACUGUUGGGUCUCUGUAAAUAAUGUUAAAGAGUUCGGUCUAGACCUGCUCUAUUUGAAAAGUGUCCUGAGAUAACUUCUGUUAUGAAUUGGCGCUAUACAAAUAAAAUUGAAUUGAAUUGAAUUGAAUUGAAUUGAACUACACCAACGCCAGUAUCUUGGUGUUAUUAUUAGCCAUCGUAUUUUCCAUUCAGAGAGUAAUGACAAUAACAAUCCUUCAUGACUACCAUCAACACUCUCUGAUGAAAACAAUGACUGACGACAGCGUGCUCAGUGUUUACUAGGUCUAGAGUGAUCCGUCAUUUCCGGUUUUCAUUUUUUUUGGGCGACAACACAGAUUAGCGCCGCCCGCUGUUAUGGGGACAUAUUACGCCUUGCGCACACGCAGAAUGUACGCUCCAGUCGGCGUCGGUUUGGUGCGUUCGGAGGCACUUUUUUGACCAACUCGGGGAGACCGUGGCCGACUGAUCAGUCCGACUGCUUUUCUGCCGACGGUCGGCCGUCGGGUUGGUGUGUCCUGGCCUUAACAGCAGUCUCUCUCAACACUGCCACCUUGUGUCCAAACACUGAAUACACUGGGAACAAUUCAACACAACUCUUUUCACCAUUACUGAGAUAUUAUAGAACAUUUACCUCACAACUACAUAUUCAUUGUGUUCAAUGAUCUAUUUUGACUUCUCUGCUUGAUUUUUAUGAACCAAAUCAUAAUUUCUACAUGUUCAAAUGAUCUGAGCUAGCUCACAGUCCACCCAUGUACCCACCAACAGCUGCACCCCCCCAGACUUCCCCUGGUUAGGAAGAACUGUUACUAAUACUGUGAAAUACACAGUUUACUAAAGAUUAUACUGAGCUGCUUUAACUAUUAGUCCUCCACAAAGUGACGCAGCAGAUCUACUAACAACAAGGUAUUAUUAGGACAUGUGAUUUUCAUACUGCAGCCAGUAAAAUAAGAGUGUGUCCAAUCGUGUGUGUUCCUGCUCUGAAGAAACUCCGCCCCUCCGGUGACUCACCUGAGACAAACCAGGAAACAGAGGUUGUUAUUGUGCUUCACUGACGGGAGACACACAGACAGAGACAGACGAUAAGAUUCACCUUCAGACCAAAACCCACUGAGACAGGACAGCUACAGGAGGGAAUACUGGGAAUACUGGAAUACUACCACUUCAACCAGCUGCUGAAUCCACAAACUGAACAAGAGUUUGACUCCAAAGACUCAAAGUGAAAGUAACUUUCAGAGAACAGGGAGUGACUGACUGGUUUCCUGUUGGAGCUGCCUGCUGUGCUUUCAGCUGCACUCACAGACAAAAUGGCUUCCAGAUUAGAGGAAGAUCUCUGCUGUCCUGUCUGCCACGACAUCUUUAAAGAUCCGGUCAUCCUGUCAUGUAGCCACAGCUUCUGUAAAGACUGUCUGAAGAGCUGGUGGACAGAGAAAGUAACACGUGAGUGUCCAGUUUGUAAGAGAAGACAUUCAAAGGAAGGUCUACCUCCUAACUUGGCUUUAAAGAACCUGUGUGAGAGUUUCUUACAGGAGAGCGAUCAGAGAUCUUCAGAGGCUCUCUGCAGUCUGCACUCUGAGAAACUCAAACUCUUCUGUCUGGACCAUCAGCAGCCAGUGUGUCUCGUCUGCAGAGAUUCAAAGAAACACACCAACCACAGAUUCAGACCCAUCGAUGAAGCUGCUCAGGAUCACAAAGAGGAGCUCCAGAAAUCUCUGAAGCCUUUAAAGGAGAAGUUAAAGGUUUGUGAAGGAGUUAAAGUGAAGUUUGAUCAAACAGCAGAACACAUGAAGGUCCAGGCCCGACGCACAGUGAGGAAGAUUAAGGAGCAGUUUAAGAAGCUUCACCAGUUUCUAGAAGAGGAAGAGGAGGCCAGGCUGGCUGCACUGAGGGAGGAAGAGGAGCAGAAGAGUCAGAUGAUGAAGGAGAAGAUGGAGGCCCUGAGCAGAGAGAUAGCAGCUCUUUCAGACACAGUCAGAGCCACAGAGGAGGAGCUGAGAGCUGAAGACGUCUCAUUCCUGAACAACUACAAGGCUGCAGUGGAAAGAGUCCAGCAGCGCCCCCUGCUGGAGGAUCCACAGCUGCCCUCAGGAGCUCUGAUAGACGAGGCCAAACACCUGGGCAACCUGACCUUCAACAUCUGGAACAAGAUGAAGGACAUGGUCUCCUACACUCCUGUGAUUCUGGAUCCAAACACUGCUGGUCCAUAUCUCAUCCUGUCUGAAGAUCUGACCAGUGUGAGAGGAGGAGAGAAACAGCAGCUUCCUCAUAAUCCAGAGAGGUUUGAUUCUUCAUGGUGUGUUCUGGGUUCUGAGGGCUUUAACUCAGGGACUCACAGCUGGGAUGUCGAGGUUGGAGACAGUAAAUACUGGGACCUGGGUGUGUUAGCAGAGUCUGUCCAGAGGAAGGGAGACAUAGAGUCUGGAUUAUGGAGAAUAUGGUUCCGUGUUGGUAAAUACAGAGCAUCCUCCCCAUCAGCUCCACCCACUGUUCUUGUAGUUCAGAAGAAGGUCCAGAGGAUCAGAGUGAAUCUGGACUGGAACAGAGGAAAGCUGUCGUUCUCUGAUCCUGAUACUAACACACACAUACACACCUUCACACACACUUUCACUGAGAGACUGUUUCCAUUUAUUUACACUGAUUAUAAACAGCUGAAGAUUCUACCAGAGAAAGUCUCUGUGACUGUUCAAUAGAAAUAGAUGAUGAUGAUGAUGAUGAUGAUGAUGAAGGUGAUGAUGAUGAUGAUGAUGAUGAUGAUGAUGAUGAUGAUCAUGAUGAUGAUCAUGAUGAUGAUGAAGGUGAUGAGGAAGAUGAUAGGUGAUGAUGUUGAUGAUGAUGAUGAAGGUGAUGAUGAAGGUGAUGAUGAUGAUGAUGAUGAAGGUGAUGAUGAUGAUGAUGAUGAUGAUGAAGGUGAUGAUGAUGAUGAUGAUGAUGAAGGUGAUGAUGAUGAUGAUGAUGAUGAUGAUGAUGAUGAAGAUGAUGAUGAACAUGUGUUAUAUUGAUGAUGUUGGUUGUCAUGGUGAUGUGGAUGAGCAGGUUUACAGUGGUUUUUGGGGGUUUUGGGGGUUUUGGUGGUUUUGGGUUUCCAUAGUAACGUGAUCCAGAUAAACUCAGUAAAAGCUGCUUCUGGGUCCAGAAACCAGGUUCCUGUUUGCUGCUGUGUUUACACACAUUACUGAUGUAACAUUUAGUUGUUAAUCAAUCUGGGAAUGAUGGCAGCUAUAGGUUUGUGAUUGGAUCAUUGAUUAUAUCUAUAAAGUGAAUUUGAUCAGCAGGUUAAACUCGGGCUCCAUUAUUCAGAACCAGUCUGAAAACUGUCCCUUUGGACCGAACAAACCCCCCAGUGCUCCGAAGGCCUGUGGCUCCAACUACACUCUCUCUCUGGAGUUUGUUCAACCUGAAUAUCAAUGGCACCAAACAUUGAUCCUGAUUGAUUUGUUUCUUGAUGUUCCAGAGAUUGUAUCUGAAGUUAUCUGCUCAGAGUUUGUGUCCACUGUAAUCCAUCUUGUGUAAAACUGUACAAUUAAAGUUUGUCAUUAAGCAGAAA